CUGCUCACCUUCAGCACAUAUACUAAAGACUUGGAACGAUACAGAGAUUAGCAAGGCCCCCGCGCAGGGAUGACAUGCAGAUUCACGAACCGUUCAAUAUUAAA